rnacentral:rRNA from 1 species
UACGGGGGGAGCAAGCGUUGUUCGGAUUUACUGGGCGUAAAGGGCGCGUAGGCGGCCUCUGCAAGUCGACUGUGAAAUCUCCGGGCUUAACUCGGAGCGGUCAAGUGAUACUGUCAUGCUAGAGUGCGGAAGGGGCUACUGGAAUUCUCGGUGUAGCGGUGAAAUGCGUAGAUAUCGAGAGGAACACCUGCGGCGAAGGCGGGUAGCUGGGCCGACACUGACGCUGAUGCGCGAAAGCCAGGGGAGCGAACGGG